rnacentral:rRNA from 1 species
CAGCAGCGCGGUAAUACGUAGGUGGCAAGCGUUGUCCGGAAUUAUUGGGCGUAAAGGACUCGCAGGCGGUUUCUUAAGUUUGAUGUGAAAGCCCCCGGCUCAACCGGGGAGGGUCAUUGGAAACUGGGAAACUUGAGUGCAGAAGAGGAGAGUGGAAUUCCACGUGUAGCGGUGAAAUGCGUAGAGAUGUGGAGGAACACCAGUGGCGAAGGCGACUCUCUGGUCUGUAACUGACGCUGAGGAGCGAAAGCGUGGGGAGCGAACAGGAUUAGAUACCCCAGUAGUCCCUGUCUCUUAACAC